UAAUACACCGGUUCUCGUACGAUCACCGAAGUUAAGCAAUGUCAACUCUAGUCAGUACGUUGAUGGAGGCUCGCUUGGUAAUACCAGGUGCUGUAAG